rnacentral:lncRNA from 1 species
ACAUUUUCUUUUUUAUUAAUUUCGAGAAUAAAAUGCAAAAUUACCCUUUUGUACUCAGGGACAGCUAGAACCAGAUGCUUACAGGUGGGGUCAGGUUCUGAGUUGACCCAGUCAAUACUUGACUGGUCAACUAAUGAACAGUGCCAGUUGGGACCCAAUUGUCAUAGACUCUGUUUUUAUUAAGUCAAUUAAUUAGAGAUAACCAACACAGGUGGUCCACAUGUCAUUUGCUAUUAAAGUAAAUUAGCACUAAUUUAACACAAACUAAUCUAAUCCUAAUUUAACAAGGGGCCGGCCGCACUGGACAAUUCCCUAGCCGGCCACACACGUAACACACACACCACACACGGAUGGCCAUGGCAUGGCCAUGGCUAGUAGCAGUAGCAGUCCGCGGUAGUAGGCAGUAGGAGCACCAGCAGCGGAGCAUAGUUAGCAGCAAAACGGCACUAGCAGGAGCAGCGGCGCCGGCGGCAACUAGCAGCAGCACCAACAAUAAGCAGCGGCGGCAGCAGAGAGUAGCAGCAGAGCAGUGAGCAACACAAGCAACAGAGCAGUUACGACUUACGAUAGCUAGACGGAGCAGGGCGCACGACCACGUGCGCCAAGCACCAGUGCAGCGAGCGGAGCCACAUCGGCAAAGCAGCAGCAGCAGGCGGACGUACGCGCACCUGAGGUCGAGGGCGCGACCCGCGGGGCUGUGAUUGGACGGGAGCAGCUAGUGUGCGGCGCAGGCGCGGCCAUGGACGCGUCCCGCGGGCGUAUGUCGCGGCAAGUAGCGACGAGGUGCGGUCGGGAGAAGUCAAGCGCGGGCGGGGUGAGCACGAGCUCACAGAGGGUUCCAACGCGUCGGCUAAGACGGCCUAAAGCGACAGAUUCGACGGGGAAAAAGAGGGAGACGACGAGGAGCUCACCGGGCCCUGCAGAUGUGCGUUCGCGGGCUCGGGGGAGGCUUGGUGACGACGGCGUGUUGGCGGCGUUCUCCGUCGACCGGAGGGGGAGGCAGGGUCGAGCGCGUCGACGACGGACAACGACGGUUGCCCGCGGAGGGGAUCGACGGAAGCGACGGCACGAGGGCGUCCUAGCUGGUGGCGCUCGGCGUGGAAGAAGAGGAUGACGACGCGCUUCUUCUGGGCAUCAGCGGACGGCGAACGGUGGCCGGUGGCUACGGCAACGACGACGGCGGCGCAAUCACCGCGCGAGCUCUUGCGCUCGAUUUCGAGCAGAUGAGGAGGGGGCGCGAUGGGGAAAAGGAGGGGAUCGGGCGAGCUCGAUCUAGGGUUCCCAGGGGGUGUGCUUAUAGGGAUGGGGAUGCUCUGUGGCAUGCGUGGUGGCAAUCGAGCGACGACGGCCGCGGAUGAACGACACGCACUAGUCUCUGUAGGUAAGGUUGAAGAGGAGGGAGAGAUGGGCUGGAUUGGGUAAUAUUCACGAUGGGCCAAGUGCACUGUGCAAAAAGAGCCCACUCCACGGUAGUAGUUAGGCAUCUUUCUUUUUUUAACUGUUUUGUAAUUUCUCCAAUGUUUUGCAUUUACUUUAUGUUGUCAGAUGAUUUUUGUUAAUUGUGUGACUAGCACAUAAAUACUAGGCUAUCUUACAGGGAUGUACAAAAAGGUUUGAGGCCAUUUGGGACUAUUCAAAUUUAUAUUUGAAUUAAAAUGUGUUUAUUUAAUCCCGCUGAUCCGCUAAAAAGUCCUAGGGGCAAUUUAAAAAUACAUUUAAUGUUGUUUCCUAUAUGUUAAAUUAUUUACUGAAUAUUUUCAACCCAUUCAACAUUUUUAUUUGUCAGUUUGAGGAAAUGUUUUCUCACUUGCAAUUUAUAUUGGAUUUUUGGAGUUGAUUUGAAACAGGCGGCAGUUAGCAUAGUAAUCAUGAUGACAUGGCAUCAUUAGCAUGAGAUCACUGUAUCUUAAUUAUCCGGGCGUCACAAUUCUCCUCCAGUACAAGAAAUCUCGUCCCGAGAUUCUAAGAGAUGGAGUAAGGGGGAAAGAUCUGGUUACGAAAUUCUAAUGAAUCUUCUCGGUCUUGCUUGCUCUUCUCGAAGAGAUCGAUCCAUUAUAUUGAUGUCUUCGUUCCUCUGCUUCAGGUAAUCAUGAUGUAGCUGUCGUCUUUCCUUCAGGAUCUUCAUCGUACUUACGAAAGGAUUAGAGGGGAAAAGCUGUAUAAGGACGAAUUCUAACAAGAUUUAGCAUCGUUCGGUUAACUCAUGGGGAGAAGCAUAAGUAUCUCCUGAGUUGAAACUUAAGAAGAUAUCGAGAGCAAAGUAAGAAGAUACCAUGGGAAGUUUUAAAUGAAUAGGCAAUCGUUCGAUGUUUGAAAGACCGUGCGAAUGGGGUCCAGAGCAACGAGAUUGAGUAUUGCGCCUGUUACCAGAAUAGAUCACUAGGAUGAUGGCCCGUGAAUUUCAUACGAAGCCAAGCGUGAGGAAUAACCUUGGGAACAGUGAUGUAUAGAAGAGUCAGGUUUUGAUCCUGUCGAACUGUGGGUUAUGGGCCGACCAUGUGGGUUAAAGUAGGAAGGGCGGUGACGUCUUGCACGAUCAUGUAAGCAAGGCACGUCAGAGAAUAACCGAUCAGUUAUGUUGGCAGCAUCGUUGGUACCAAGGGCGAGGGACGAAGAGAACCAUUUUCCUGCUCGUUGAAACGAGGCGGACCAGUAGGCAAAGUUCUCGUCCAUCGGUGGUUACCGGAAUGUCGUCAACAAAAGUAACAAGGUCUUACUGACAGAAUUUUACACUGAGGUGUUUACAUAAGCAGGAGAAUAUUACUGCUUAGAUUAUAAUGAUCACCAUAAGGGUCAAACCAAACAAUGGAAGGGAAAAUGUGUUUAUCAGAUUAACAGAACAAUGGAAAGGAAAAUGUGUUUAAACACAUAUUUUAGGGGCAUAUCCUUCCCAAGGACAAGCAGAGCAUGAUAUCUGUGACAAGAUAUAAUGUAGAAAACCCUUUAGGUAAGGGGAGAGAAAUAUCAUGACAUUACCUAUACAACGGUGUUUGGAUAAUUAAGCAAGAAACAUUUAACAUUGGGCUUCAAAUAUCCUUGUUGAAAAAUCGGAGUACCGGUGACAAGCUUCGAGAUAGAAUUGACAAGGUCUUCCAGCAAAGGUCAGGCUCUGGAUACAUGAAGGAUCCAUCAGGAACAACUUGUAGAAUAAGUCUUACAAUUUCCUCAUGAAAGAAUGGAUAACCUUGCAGAAAAAGGAAACUAUAACACUAGGUGUGCUAGGCAUGACAUCACCUUACCAGGUCAUGUAAAGAUGUUAUAAUUGGUGUCAGGAUAACUCAGACUCGGGAUGCCUGAGAAGAAAGGUGCAACACAAAUUGACAAGAUGACAUUGUAAGAUUCUCGGAAAAUGAACUAUGGAAGCGAGUUCCGAAACAAGAGUUCAUUAUUACACCAAGGAGAGGCCGAGGAGGUGGCUGAUGGACUCAACGACAAUUCAAUGAGAUUUCCAAAAGAUGGAUUUCCACAAUUAUGUGAACAAGGAGUUAACAUUAGUCAGAUCAAAUGAUAUAAUGAUGUAUGCUCGAGGAAAACAUACACAAUUAAUCAUUGGUUGAAAUGUGUACACGAGAUAUGGGCUUAGGUGGUACGAUCGGUGCUAGAAUGGUGAUUCAAUAACCAAUAGUUUAAGAAUGAGCUCUCAACUGGUAACUUCAAAGCAAUUGGGUUGCUAGAAGUUCAGAAUCCAAGUAGCACCAUUCACUUGUCGGUAUUCUGGUUAGAAACAACACGGAGACCAAGAAAUGAUGGAGAUGGCGAGAAGUAUUACCAUAACAAAAAUUCUUAAGAGGUGGUGAAAUUCUCUCGACAUUCUUGACUUAAAAGAUGGUAAUACUCCAAGGUAAGAAGAACAAAUGCUGGAUAGGAAGGAUCUCAAGGUAUAACACAAAACAUGAACAAGUUCGUGUUGAAUGGAAGGCAAUAACGUGGUCGAUGAUAACACAAGUCAUCAAGGGCAAGGAUGGUAUUUCUCAUCAUGGAUUCAGUUGAUAUCCUGGAAGAGCUCAAAAUGUUGAUGAUGCCAUCAAGACAAAUGAUGAUGAAGCGAAAAGUUAUGGGAACCAAGGGUGCGACAUAAACUCGAAAUCAAGUUUGAUGUCCAACGAGAAAUGAUAUGACGAGGAAGUUCGACGUAAGUUCAACACACUGUCGAAAUUUGUGCUCUAGGAAGAAGGACCAGGUAGCAUAGUUAAAAUUAGCACGAUAAUGAUAUAGCCGAUCAGGCUAGGAAUGACUUGAAGGAUUAUUAAACUCGUAAGCAACGAAAAUUGUUUAGAGUUAUUGAAUCGGAGUGUGGACUCGAUUCACUAUUCGGUGUUCUCGAUUGACUAAUAACUCAUAACCCGAGGAAAGAUUGGAAUCGGCGAGAAUUAAUUGUAGAUGAAGAACUCAUAAGAAGUUAUGCAGUUCCAUGACAUUAUCAAGAUAUCACAGUGUAAUACUCAAUGGUAGAUCAAAGUAAAGGUUGGACAGGUGCAAUGAUCUGCACAAGAAAAGUACUUCAACUUGUCUGAUAAAUGGUAUUAAUGAGAAAAUAUGGUCGGAACCAUGAUUGCAAAGGACCAAACAUAGAUACAGGACGAACUUAUAACAAGGGGAUUAUUAUCAUUUACAGGAAGCUUCGAUGAUAAGUUUCAUAUCGGGUCCACGGGCAUGAACGCAAAGGCUCAAGGUCGACUCCCACUUCUUCCAUGCAUGACCUUUCAUUUUACUUCUCGCUCUUGAUGAAGCUGUAGUGUAGAAAUUUUAUCUAGCAAAAUACCAGAAGAGUAUGACUCGUGAAAACUUUCGAGUUCACACUUAAUAAGGAAGGCAUAGGUUCAACCCGUCAGGGUAUCGUGGAAAUAUAUACCACAAGCUUCAAUAGUAAAUACCACAAGCUCAAAAACAGAGCAUGGUUGACAAAAGUAGAGGAUACAAUUUACCAAAAGCAUUAUGUAUCAUGUAAAGAACUCACAAGAAUUUUGGUUGUGAGGGACUUUUUUGGAUAAUAACCCGACAAUGGGUAUGGCGGUCCGCAAUGGAGCUGAUGUGAGCAUCGGCACACAAUCAGAAGAAGAAACAAUGCAAAUGCAUUGGAGUAUAGAAACAAUUGACUAACUCAAAGCUCAAAUGCAAAGGAAUUAUCAUUUCCAAAUCAAGGGAUCAGAAGCAAACGCUCUGAUCAAGGAUGGAUAAAUUCAAUAGACCUAAGGGUACAAUUGACGGCAAUUUGAUUGGUCGAGGACCAAUUCCAGUUAAAAGAAUGGCAACUCAGCCGCAAAGGUAAUAUAUAAGGAUCAACGAUGAUUGCGGGCAUUCGCAAACAUAUCGAAUCAAAUGCUCAUUAUGACGAUGUCAAAGGAUGCUAAAAUAUCGCUACUCAUAUGGAAUUAACCAUAUUGCAAGCAGGUAAGGAAGAUGAGGAGCAAUAGGCUACCGAGGAUUUCGGAAGAUCGAAUAGCAUUUCGAAGAAUUUUGUGAAACACAUAAACAACUGGGGAUGAACGGAUACUCGGUAAGUGCAAGGAAUAUUCGUAGGGGUAUUCAUGUGGCAAUGAACUGCAAGGCAGUAGGCACAGGGUAUUCUCGGAACAAUAGAGAGAAUUUUGGGGUAUCAUGUGAUAACAAGAUCAACGGAGAAUGAUUGUAUGAACGACAAGAGUAUGACGUUAUCCAUAAGGAUAUGUCGGUGGUAGGAAAAUGCGAAAGCAAUGAGCACAAAGUUUCGGGAGAACAUUGGAGAGUAUCUUCGGAACCUUCUAGUGAACAAGUCGAUCAUCUGGAAUGAAGGGGCUCUCCGGGGGAAAGUGAUCACGAGAUCCUAAUGUUAGAUUUAGUAAAAUUCAUUUAACCCGAAUAGAAGAGAGAUGAGGGUCCCAGAGUAUAAACGAGGAAUAAAAAAUCCUAAUACCAUCCAAAUGGGGACGUGGGCCCGUAAGACACACAUCCAUGUUAGUAAAAAGUUUUGCAAUGUCUAGACUCGACUUCGGCCAAGGAGUGUGGAAGGGGGAUUCCUACAGGCAGUCAGCUCUGAUACCAACUUGUGACGUCCCCUAUUUGACCGUACACUAAUCAUACGCGCAAACGUGUACGAUCAACAUCAGGGACUCACGAGAAGAUACCACAACACAACUCUACAAAUAAAAUAAGUCAUACAAGCAUCAUAUUACAAGCCAAGGCCCUCGAGGGCUCGAAUACAAGAGCUCGAUCAUAGACGAGUCAGCAGAAACAACAAUAUCUGAGUACAGACAUAAGUUAAACAAGUUUGCCUUAAGAAGGCUAGCACAAAUUGGGGGACAGAUCGAAAGAGGCGCAUGCCUCCUGCCUGGGAUCCUCCUAAACUUCUCCUGGUCGUCGUCAGCGGCCUGCACGUAGUAGUAGGCACCUCCCGAGCAGUAGUAGUCGUCGUCGACGGUGGCGUCUGGCUCCUGGGCUCCAUCGCCUGGUCGCAACAAUCGGGUAUAGAAAGGGGGAAAAGAGGAAGCAAAGCAACCGUGAGUACUCAUCCAAAGUACUCGCAAGCAAGGAGCUACACUACAUAUGUAUGCAUUGGUAUCAAAUGGAAUGAGGGUAUCAUAUGUGGACUGAACUGCAGAAUGCCAGAAUAAAAGGGGGAUAGCUAGUCCUUAUCGAAGACUAAGCUUCUGGCCACCUCCAUCUUGCAGCAUGUAGAAGAGACUAGAUGGUAAGUUCACCAAGUAGCAUCGCAUAGCAUAAUCCUACCCGGCGAUCCUCUCCUCGUCGCCCUGUUAGAGAGUGAUCACCGGGUUGUAUCUGGCACUUGGAAGGGUGUGUUUUAUUAAGUAACCAGUUCUAAUUGUCAUAAGGUCAAGGUACAACUCCAAGUCGUCCUAUUACCGAAGAUCACGGCUAUUCGAAUAGAUUAACUUCCCUACAGGGGUGCACCAUAUUUCCCAACACGCUCGAUCCUCUUUGUCCGGACACACUUGUCUAGGUCAUGCCCGGCCUCGGAAAAUCAACACGUCGCAGCCCUAUCUAGGCACAACAAAGAGGUCAGCACGCCGGUCUAAAUCCUAUGUGCGCAGGGGUUUGGGCCCAUCGCCCAUUGCACACCUGCACGUUGCGUACGCGGCCGGUGAGCAGACCUAGCAACCUCCAUUACAAAGGAAGUUGCGUUACACGGUCCAACCCGACGCGCGCCGCUCAGUCGCUAACGUCACGAAGGCUUUGGCUGAUACCACGACAUCGAGUGCCCAUAACUGUUCCCGUGUAGUUGGUUAGUGCGUAUAGGCCAGUAGCCAGACUCAGAUCAAAUACCCAGAUCUCGUUAAGCGUGUUAUUUUGAAGUAACCGUGAACGCCGACCAGGGCCAGGCCCACCUCUCUCCUAGGUGGUCUCAACCUGCCCUGUCGCUCCGCCACAAAGUAACAGUCGGGGGCCGUUGGGAACCUAGGUCCACCACUACCUGGGUGGAACCACCUGCCCCUUCAGCCCCACAUUAGAAUCACUUGCGGGUACUCAACGAGCCGACCCGACUUUAGUCACCACCUGUAUAGCAUGUAUAUAUAGUAUAUAUCCGUGAUCAACACCCGACGUGAUCACGGCCCGAUAGUAUAGCAUGGCAGACUGACAAGAAUGUAGGGCCAUUGACGAUAAUCUAGCAUCCUAUACUAAGAAUUUAGGAUUACAGGUAAGGUAUCAACAGUUGUAGCAACAAUGACGGGCUAUGCAUCAGAAUAGGAUUAACGGAAAGCAGUAACAUGCUACACUACUCUAAUGCAAGCAGUAGAUGGAAGAGUAGGCGAUAUCUGGUGAUCAGGGGGGGGGGCUUGCCUGGUUGCUCUAGCAAGAAGGGUCGUCAACACCGUAGUCGACAACAGGGGUACCGACAGCGGUCUCGGGGUCGACCAGAAAGAAGUAACGGAGGGGAACACAAUAAAUAACAGUGCAACCAAAGCAUCACAAGGCAUAACAUGACAAUACGCGGUGCUAGGGGUGCCGUAACGUGGUAUGAGGUGGUACCGGCAAAGGGGGGAAACAUCCGGGAAAAUAUCCCCGAGGUUUCGCGUUUUCGGACUGAUGAAUUGGAGAGGGAAAGUUGCGUGUUCGCUAUGCUAGGGAUGCGUGGCGGACGAACGGACUGCUUAACUGGAUUUGUCUCGUCGUUCUGAGCAACUUUCAUGUACAAAGUUUUUCCAUUCAAGCUACGGUUUAUUUUAUAUUAAUUUUCUAAAGUUUUAACAUUUUCUUUUUUUAUUAAUUUCGACAAUAAAAUGCAAAAUUACCCUUUUGUACUCAGGGACAGCUAGAACCAGAUGCUUACAGGUGAGGUCAGGUUCUGAGUUGACCCAGUCAAUACUUGACUCGUCAACUGAUGAACAGUGCCAGUUGGGAGCCAAUUAUCAUAGACUCUGUUUUUAUUAAGUCAAUUAAUUAGAGAUAACCAACACAGGUGGUCCACAUGUCAUUUGCUAUUAAAGUAAAUUAGCACUAAUUUAACACAAACUAAUCUAAUCCUAAUUUAACAAGGGGCCGGCCGCACUGGACAAUGGCCCAGCCGGCCACACACGUAACACACAGACACCACACACGGAUGGCCAUGGCUAGUAGCAGUAGCAGUCCGCGGUAGCAGGCAGUAGGAGCACCAGCAGCGGAGCAGAGUUAGCAGCAAAACGGCACUAGCAGGAGCAGCGGCGCCGGCGGCAACUAGCAGCAGCACCAACAGUAAGCAGCGGCGGCAGCAGAGAGUAGCAGCAGAGCAGCGAGCAACACAAGCAACAGAGCAGUUACGGUAGCUAGACGGAGCAGGGCGCACGACCACGCGCGCCAAGCAGCAGUGCAGCGAGCGGAGCCGCAUCGGCAAAGCAGCA